rnacentral:rRNA from 1 species
GAUGAUAAUGACAGUANCUGGUAAAGAAACCCCGGCUAACUCCGUGCCAGCAGCCGCGGUAAUACGGAGGGGGUUAGCGUUGUUCGGAAUUACUGGGCGUAAAGCGCNCGUAGGCGGAUNNUUAAGUUAGAGGUGAAAUCCCGGGGCUCAACCCCGGAACUGCCUUNAAUACUGGCNAUCUAGAGUUCGAGAGAGGUGAGUGGAAUUCCGAGUGUAGAGGUGAAAUUCGUAGAUAUUCGGAGGAACACCAGUGGCGAAGGCGGCUCACUGGCUCGAUACUGACGCUGAGGUGCGAAAGUGUGGGGAGCAAACAGGAUUAGAUACCCUGGUAGUCCACACCGUAAACGAUGAAUGCCAGUCGUCGGGUAGCAUGCUAUUCGGUGACACACCUAACGGAUUAAGCAUUCCGCCUGGGGAGUACGAUCGCAGU